ACGACUCUCAGCAACGGAUAUCUUGGCUCUUGCAACGAUGAAGAACGCAGCGAAAUGCGAUACCUAGUGUGAAUUGCAGAAUUCCGCGAAUCAUUGAGUCUUUGAACGCAAGUUGCGCCCGAGGCUUGUCCCGAGGGCAUGCCUGCCUGAGCGUCACC
rnacentral:rRNA from 5 species